CGUCUGUUAGCUUAAUGGUAGAGCAGAAGACUUCUAAUGUUUACUUCUAUGGUCAAGUUCAAGUCUUGAAUACGCCU